rnacentral:rRNA from 1 species
UACGUAGGGGGCGAGCGUUGUCCGGAUUUAUUGGGCGUAAAGAGCGUGUAGGCGGUCCGGUAAGUCCGCUGUGAAAGUCGGGGGCUCAACCCUCGAAUGCCGGUGGAUACUGGCGGGCUAGAGUGCGGAAGAGGCGAGUGGAAUUCCUGGUGUAGCGGUGAAAUGCGCAGAUAUCAGGAGGAACACCUAUUGCGAAGGCAGCUCGCUGGGACGUAACUGACGCUGAGACGCGAAAGCGUGGGAAGCAAACAGG